AUGGCAUUCCCCGCCUCUCGCCGUCUCUCCGCCGCCGCCGCUCCGAAACUCUCCUCCCUCUUCACGCCCGGACCCACUCCUAAGCCUCGCCCGCUGCCGCCGGAGUCCGGCGAUGAUCCUAGGCGGCGGAAGCCGAGGCCGAGAUCAAGGCACCCGUGUGGGGAGGAUGCGGCAGCGCUUCUCCGGCGGCUUCACGAGGGGCGAUACCUGCCGGGACCCUACCUCCCGGAUGCGCCGCAUGUAGUAUCCCCCGACGCUGUCAAGGCCGCCGCCGAGCGGUUCGGCAACGAUCACCAGGUCGUCGCCAAAUGGUUGUCGGGAAGUGACUUGAAGAAGGUAGCAUUGUUUGGCUGCCCAUCUGUUGAGCGAAGAACAGUUUUUGCAUCAAAAAGAUUACGAGCUUUCUUCAACUUGCCAGAAGAGAAAGUAUGCAGCUCUUGCAAGAUAAGAAGUUCAUGCCAGUUUAUUAACCAGGAGGUGCCUAGGUAUGAUAAAGUGAUCUUGUCAGAUACUAUGAGGAUCCUUGCUUUGUUUGUACUGGAUGCAUAUCCUGAGCCACUACAGGUUACUGCUGAAGUAAAAGCUAGUGUCCGCAAACUUCUCAAGGACACCAUAAAUCUAAGCAUUUAA
rnacentral:rRNA from 1 species